rnacentral:rRNA from 1 species
UACGGAGGGUGCAAGCGUUGUUCGGAAUCAUUGGGCGUAAAGCGCGUGUAGGCGGUUUGUUAAGUCUGAUGUGAAAGCCCGGGGCUUAACCCCGGAAGUGCAUUGGAUACUGGCAAGCUAGAGGAUGAGAGAGGGUGGUGGAAUUCCUGGUGUAGGGGUGAAAUCCGUAGAUAUCAGGAGGAACAUCGGAGGCGAAGGCGGCCACCUGGCUCAUUUCUGACGCUGAGACGCGAAAGCGUGGGGAGCAAACAGG